rnacentral:rRNA from 1 species
GCGGGAAAAGCUCAAAUUUAAAAUCUGGUGGUCUUUGGCCAUCCGAGUUGUAAUUUAGAGAAGCGUCUUCCGCGCUGGGCCGUGCACAAGUCUCCUGGAAUGGAGCGUCAUAGAGGGUGAGAAUCCCGUCUUUGGCACGGACCCCCAGGGCUUCUGUGAUGCGCUCUCGACGAGUCGAGUUGUUUGGGAAUGCAGCUCAAAAUGGGUGGUGAACUCCAUCUAAAGCUAAAUAUUGGCGAGAGACCGAUAGCGAACAAGUACCGUGAGGGAAAGAUGAAAAGCACUUUGGAAAGAGAGUGAAACAGUACGUGAAAUUGUUGAAAGGGAAACGCUUGAAGUCAGUCGCGUCGACCGAGACUCAGCCUUGCCUCGGCUUGGUGUACUUCUCGGCUUGACGGGUCAGCAUCAAUUUUGAUCCUUGGAUAAUGGCAAGGGAAAGGUAGCACCUUUUUAGGUGUGUUAUAGUCCUCUGUCGCAUGCAAGGGUCAGGAUUGAGGAACUCAGCAUGCACCUUUGGGUGUCGGGGCCUUGGCCCACGUUACGUGCUUAGGAUGCUGGCAUAAUGGCUUUAAACGACCCGUCUUGAAACACGGACCAAGGAGUCUAACAUACCYGCGAGUGUUCGGGUGGAAAACCCGUGCGCGUAAUGAAAGUAAAAGUUGGGACCUCUGUCGUGGAGGGCACCGACGCCCGGACCAGACCUUCUGUGACGGCUCUGCGGUAGAGCGUGUAUGUUGGGACCCGAAAGAUGGUGAACUAUGCCUGAAUAGGGUGAAGCCAGAGGAAACUCUGGUGGAGGCUCGUAGCGAUUCUGACGUGCAAAUCGAUCGUCAAAUUUG